rnacentral:lncRNA from 1 species
UUGAAUGUAACUUUAAGACUAAGUGAAGUUGAUGCUUGAAUUCGGUGGUUUUGUAAUUAGGAUACGAAAUUAUUCUGUUUGGAUCAUGUUGAAUUGAUUAGUAUGGUCGGUGGUUAAACCUCAUUGUUUGAGUCAAUUGGAUCAUCUGUGUCACGACCCCAAAUUUAACUCUCUGUAAGGUGUCGUGAUGGCACCUAGUAUUUACGACUAGGUAAGCCUAAUAUUAUAAAAAAUAUAAAGAAAACACAACAUUUUAAAGAUAAACAGCAUAUUGUGAAUAGCCAAGAGUAGUACCACUCGGCAUAUACAAAAUAUUUUUCCAAAGACCCGGAAUAUCACUAAGUCACAAGCUGCUAUAAUCUAUGUAGCUCUAUACAAAAGUCUGAAGAUAAUAAAGAAAGUCUUUAGGCGAGGGAGUAGAAGGGGACUCCGAAGAUCUGCGGACGCAAGCAGUAGUACCUUGAAAUCUCCUAAAAUCGACAACACGCACUAACCCCAAGGCUGAUAGCUCGCACCUGGAUCUGCACACGAAAACAUGUGCAUGAAAGGGCAUGAGUACACCACAAUGGUACCCAGUAAGUACCAAGCCUAACCUCGGUCGAAUAGUGACGAGGUCAGGUCAAAGUAAAUAAGCAGUGCUGGAGGAUCUCCCGAAAUACGUCUGUAGUCCCAAAGUAAAUAUGCAGUACAGGGGGAUCUCCCGGAAUACGUCUGUAGUCCCAAUUUAAAUAUGCAACGCAAGAUGAAAUGGCAGGUAAGACAUCGAGUUAUACAGUUUAUACUGGACACAGAUAAGGAAAAUAGGGAUUUAACUAAGCAUGGCGCACAGAAUGUCAAUUAGGUAGUUAAAACACGUAAGCAUGCUUUUCUAAUCUAAGUUUAACAAUUAAACGUAUCAGUGCAAUUUAAUAAGGAAAAACAUUUUAUGAUUUAGAAAGGAAAAACGGGAUUUUUGCAAUAAUAGCAUGUGUACGUACUCGUUACCUCACAUACACGGCGCCCACACAUCAAUUAAUAUCAAACAUCUUAAGGGAAGGUCGCCAACACAAGAUUAGGCAAGCCACUUACCUCGAACCGCUCAAAUCAACUCGAUAUCACGUUCUUGCCACAAGUAUCCGACUCCAAAUGGCCCGAAUCUAUUCAAAUUAAUUGCAUAAUGUAAAUAUAACUACAAGUAAUUAAUUUAGCUAAUUAAUUCGAAGCUAAAGCGUGAAAUUAGGAAAAAUGUCCAAAAGGUCUCCCUAGGCCCACGUCUCGAAAUCGGGUAAAAAUUAUAAAAUACGAAUACCCAUUCGCUCACGAGUCUAACCAUAUAAAAAUUUCUCAAAUCCGACCACAAAUCCCCUUUCAAAACUCGAAAUCUUUGUUGGAGAAGUUCUUCCAAAUUUUUCCUAAUUUCAACCCCAAAAUCCGAAAUUAAAUGAUGCAAUCAACCAUAGAUUAGUAGAAUAUAACCAUAUAAAGGAGUUUGGAAUCACUACCCAAAAUCUUCCUCCGAAAAUCUCUCCAAAUUUUUCCUUCUACCGAGCUCUCAAUCAAAAAUUUGUGUUAUGAACUCAACCCUCGUUUUUGAACCUUAAAUUCUGCCCAGGUGCGUUCUUCUUCGCGAACGCGACAUCACGUUCGCGAACGCGAUGAACAAUCUUCCACUGGCCCAAAAUUCCUACUUCGCGAACGAGAGGGGACUCUCGCGAAUGCGUACCUUUCACUGACGGACCCUUUGCGAACGCGGGAACCUCUUCGCAAACGUAUAGCCUUAAUGCCAAAAGCUUCCUCUGCCUCGUUCCUCUACGGGAACACGUGGACCAUAUCGCGAACGCGUAGGCUUAAGGUCCCACACCUUUGCGAAUGCGGGAACAACAUCGCGAACGUGAAGAACAACUUCGCUGCCUUUCCCAGAUGCUCUACGCGAUCGCGAGGCACCUCUCGUGAACGCGAUGAAGGAUUUUUCUCCAAUAAAAUACCAGAAAUCUACUACUUCUCUAAGUCCAAAGAUGACUCGUUGAGCAUCCGAAACACACCCGAGGCCUCCGGGACCUCGACCAAACAUACCAAAAAAUCCUAAAAUACCUCACGAACUUAGUCGAGCUCUCAAAUCACAUCAAACAACGCUAAAAUCACGAAUCACCCUCCAAUUCAAACUUAAAGAACUUGAAAUUUCAAAAUUCUACAACUGAUGCCGAAACCUAUCAAAUCACGUCCGAUUGACCUCAAAUUUUGCGCACAAGUCAUAAUCAACAUUACGGACCUACUCCAAGUUCCAGAAUCGGAAAACGACCCCGAUAUCAAAAAUUCUACUACCGGCCCAAAACUCCAAAAAUUCGACUUUCGUCAUUUCAAGCCUAAAUGAGCUACGAACCUCCAAAACACAAUCCGAACACGCCCCUACACCCAAAAUCACCUAAUGGAGCUAACGGAGCUGACGAAAUACCAUUCCGGAGUCAUCUUCAUACAGUUCCGACUACGGUCCAAAUCCUAAGGCUUAAGCUCUCAUUUAGGGACUAAGUGUCCCAAAACACUCCGAAACUCAAAACCAAUCAUCCCGGCAAGUCACAAUAGCAUAAAUAGAUAUGGGGAAAACAGUUAAUAGGGGUUCGGGGCUCUAACUCUCAAAAGGACCGGCCGGGUCGCUUCAUCCUCCCCCUCUUAAAAGAAUCGUCCGUCCUCGAACGAGCAUAAAGACAUACCUGAAGCGGUGAAAAGAUGAGGAUAAUGGCUGCGUAUAUCCUGCUCGGUCUCCCAAGUCGCCUCCUCGACCGGCUGUCCCCUCCAAUGAACCUUCACGGAAGCAAUGUUCUUUGAUCUUAGCUUUCUGACCUGCCUGUCCAAUAUGGCUACUGGCUCCUCAACAUAAGAUAGAUCUUUGUCCAACUGGACUGAGCUGAAAUCCAAUACAUGAGUCGGAUCACCGUGAUACUUCCGGAGCAUAGACACGUGGAAUAUCGGGUGAACUCCUGCUAGGCUGGGAGGCAAGGCAAGCUCAUAAGCAACCUCCCCAACUCGCCACAAUAUCUCAAAAGGACCAAUGAACCUCGGGCCCAGCUUACCCUUCUUCCCGAAUCUCAUGAUGCCCUUCAUAGGCGAUACCUGAAGCAAGACCCGCUCACCAACCAUAAAUGCCAAAUCACGAACCUUCCGGUCCGCAUAACUCUUCUGCCUGGACUAAGCUAUGCGAAGUCUCUCCUGAAUCACCUUCACCUUAUCCAAGGCAUCCUGGACCAAAUCAGUGCCCAACAAUCGGGCCUCGCCCGGCUCAAACCAUCCCACUGGGGACCGGUACCGCUUACCAUACAAAGCCUCAUACGGUGCUAUCUGAAUGAUGGACUGGUAACUGUUGUUGUAAGCAAACUCUGCAAGUGGCAAGUAUUGGUCACAUGACCCUCCGAACUCCAUCACACAUGCACAGAGCAUAUCCUCAAGAAUCUGAAUCGUGCGCUCAGACUGCUCGUCCGUCUGAGGGUGAAAGGUUCUGCUCAGCUCCACCCUAGUACCCAACUCCUGCUGUACGGCCCUCCAAAACCGUGAUGUGAACUGUGUAUCUCUAUCUGAAAUGAUGGAUACUAGAAUACAAAGAAGGUGGACAAUCUCUCUGAUAUAAAUCUCAGCCAACCUUUCAGAAGAAUAAGUGGUCAACACUGGAAUAAAAUGAGCUGACNNNNNNNNNNNNNNNNNNUUCCACUCUGGGAUCUCUAACCUCUGAAGUAAUCCACCCAGUCUCUGGUGCUCAUAUUUGACCUGCUGACAGUUGAGACACUUGGCUACAAACCCAACUAUAUCCUUCUUCAUCCUCCUCCACCAGUAGUGCUGUCUCAAAUCCUGGUACAUCUUCGCGGCACCGGGAUGAAUGGAGUACCGCAAGCUGUGGGCCUCCUCAAGAAUCAACUCCCGAAGCCCAUCUACAUUGGGCACACAGAUCCGACCCUGCAUCCUCAUCACACCAUCAUCACCUACAGUUACAUCGCUAGCAUCACCUCGCCGGACCUUGUCCUGAAGAACUAGAAGAUGAGGGUCAUCAUACUGACGCUCCCUGAUACGGUCAUAAAGAGAAGACCGAGCAACCACACAAGCUAAUACCCGGCUAGGCUCUGAAAUAUCCAACCUCACGAACUGACUGGCUAAGGCCUGAAAAUCCAAGGCUAAGGGCCUCUCAGCUGCCGGAAGAUAUGCCAAACUCCCUAAACUCUCUGCCCGGAAACUCAAGGCGUCGGCCACUACAUUGGCCUUCCCCGGGUGGUAUAAUAUAGUGAUAGCAUAGUCUUUAAGUAGCUCCAACCACCUCCGCUGACGCAAAUUAAGGUCCUUCUGCCUGGACAAGUACUGCAAACUCCGGUGGUCAGUGUAAAUCUCACAGGGAACACCGUACAAAUAAUGACGCCGGAUCUUCAGGGCAUGAAACAUAGCUGCUAACUUGAGAUAAUGAACCGGAUAAUUCUUCUCAUGCACCUUCAACUGUCUAGACGUGUAGGCAAUCACCCUACCAUCCUGUAUCAAUACCGCUCCAAGGCCAAUCCUCGAGGCAUCACAAUAGACAGUGUAGGACCCCGAACCUGUAGGCAAUACUAAUACUGGGGCUGUAGUCAAAGCUGUUUUGAGCUUCCGAAAGCUCUCCUCACACUCCUCGGUCCACCUGAACGGAGCACCCUUCUGGGUCAAUCUGGUCAUAGGUGCUGCAAUAGAUGAAAAUCCCUCCACAAAGCGACGGUAAUACCCCGCCAAACCAAGAAAACUGCAGAUCUCCGUAGCUGAUGAUGGUCUAGGCCAACUCUGCACUGCCUCCACCUUCUUCGGAUCUACCUUGAUCUCAUCACAAGACACUAUGUGGCCCAAGAAUGUCACUAAAUCAAGCCAGAAUUCACACUUAGAAAAUUUUGCAUAUAAUUUCUUCUCCCUCAAAGUCUGAAGCACGGUCCUCAGGUGCCACUUAUGAUCUUCCCGAGACCGGGAAUAUACCAGGAUGCCGUCAAUAAACAUAAUGAUGAAGGAAUCAAGAUAAGGCUGGAACACGCUGUGCAUCAAAUGCAUAAAGGCUGCUGGGGCAUUGGUCAGCCCAAAUGAUAUGACAAGAAACUCAUAGUGACCAUAUCUGGUCCUGAAAGCAGUCUUCAGGUUGUCCGACUCCCGAAUCUUCAACUGAUGAUAGCCAGAACGCAAGUCAUUCUUGGAAAACACCUUGCACCCUGUAAUUGAUUAAAUAAAUCAUCGAUGCGAGGCAAAGAAUACCUGUUCUUCACUGUAACCUUGUUCAAUUGCUGAUAAUCAAUAUAUAUACGCAUAGAACCAUCCUUCUUCUUCACAAAUAAGACCGGAGCACCCUAAGGUGAUACACUGGGCCUAAUGAAACCCUUAUCAAGCAACUCCUGCAACUGCUCCUUCAACUCCUUUAACUCAGGAGGAUCCAUACGGUAAGGAGGAAUAAAUAUGGGUUGAGUGUCCGGCAACAAAUCAAUGCCAAAAUCAAUAUUUCUGUCGGGCGGCAUGCCCGAAAGGUCAGCUGGAAACACAUAUGGAAAGUCCCUCACUACUGGAACUGACUCGACUGUAGGGGUAUCAAUACUAACAUCUCUCAGAUAGGCCAAAUAUGCAUCACACCCCUUCUCAACCAUUCGCUGAGCCUUAAGAAAUGAAAUGACCCUGCGGGGAGUAUACUCUAAGGUACCUCUCCACUCUAAUCUCGGCAAACCUGGCAUAGUCAGUGUCACGGUCUUAGCGUGACAAUCAAGAAUAGUAUAAUGGGGCGACAAUCAGUCCAUGCCCAAGAUAACAUCAAAAUCUACCAUACUGAGUAAUAACAAAUCGGCUCUGGUCUCGAAACCACGAAGAGCAAUCAAACAUGACCAAUAUACGCGGUUCACAACGAGAGAAUCUCCCACGAGAGUAGAUACAUAAACAGGGGAACUCAAAGAAUCCCGAGAUAUCCCCAAAUGUGGAGCAAAAUAAGAAGACACAUAUGAAUACGUAGAGCCUGAGUCAAAUAAUACUGAUGCAUCCCUAUGACAGACAGGGACGAUACCUAUGAUGACUGAAUCUGAAGCGACGACCUCUGAACGGGCUGGAAGGGCAUAGUACCUGGCCUGGACUCCCCCUCUAGGGCGACCUCGACCUCCCCGACCUCCGCCUUGAGCUGGCUGAGGAGGUGGGGUGGCAGCUGGUGCUGGAAGAAUGGCCAGAGGACCCGGUGGAGCACGUGGAGGCUGAUAAGUCUAUGAGGGUGCACCCCUCCUGGCCCUGGGGUAAUCUCUAACCAGGUGACGAGUUUCACCACACUCAAAACAACCUCUCGGAGGGCGCGGCGGCUGAGACUGACUCGGACCUGGCCUGCUAGACUGGCCUGUAAUAGCACCUCGAGUAGGAGGCAUACUAGAUACUGGCGGUGCAUAAUAGGGCUCUUGAGGUCUAGGAGGAGCUGGAACACCGCUGGCUGCUGGAAGAGCUGAAUGAACAGGGCGACUCACAAAACCCUUACCAUAGCAUGAUGCUGGUACACGAGCUCCUGAAUAAUGACCAGUCUCUCGAGACCUCUUGGCCUCUCUCUCCUCUAUGUCCCGGGCAAGCAUGCCCUCCACUCUCCUGGCAAUGCUCACUGCCUGUUGAUAAGUGAUGUCCAUCUCCAACUCCCAGGCCAUACUGGUCUGAAUACUGGGGUGGAGUCCCUCAAUGACGCGACGAACCCUCUCUCUGACUGUAGCAACCAGAGCCGGUGCAUGGCGAGCUAAGUCACUGAGACGAACUGUAUACUCCGACACAGUCAUAGCACCCUGACGCAGCUGCUCAAACUCUGCGCGUCAAGCAUCCCUGAGGCUCUGAGAAACAUACUCAUGCAAGAACAUCUCUGAAAACUGAGUCCAAGUGAGUGAGGCUGUCGUCCGGACUACUCAGCUCAUAGGCACGCCACCACUAAUAUGCCACUCCCCUCAGCUGGAAAGUGGUGAAAGAAACCCCACUCGUCUCCACAAUGCCCAUAGUGCGGAGAAUACAAUGACACUACUCAAGAAAACCCAGAGCAUCAUCUGAAGCUAGUCCGCUGAAAGUAGGUGGGUGGUACUUCUUGUACCUCUCAAGUUUGAGCUGCUCUGCCUCAGAAGCAGCUACCCUGGUCUCAUGCUAAACCGGAGCCACUGGGGCAUAGGAAUAUACUCUGGGGCCUGAUCAACCUGGACCCUCUGCUCAGGAGUGCGGGCUGCGGGAAUCUGUGCCCCUCCCCUGACCUGAGAUGUAGCGGGAGCUAUCGGAAAUAUUCCAGCCUGAGCCAGAGGGUUGAACAUGCUCAAGAACUGAGCUAAAGUCUCCUGGAGGGCUGGAGUAGCAAUAGGGAUCUCCGGUGCUGGCCCUCCAGCUGGAGCUGCUGGGGGCUCCUCUGACGCAGCUCUCGCAGGUGCUUGGGCUGCACCGCGUGGUCGUCCUCUACCCCGACCCCGGCCUCUGGCAGCUCUGGUAGGGGGCUCGGGUGCCUGAUCGUCGGUCCUCCCGGUACGGGUCCUCACCAUCUGUGAGAAAUAAUAGAAUAGAGUUUUAGAAUUUUGAUGUCAAUAACUCGCAUGACAAGGAAAUCAAAGGAAUAAGAUUGUUCUUAACAGUUACAUAGCCUCUCGAAGAUAAGUACGGACGUCUUCGCACCGAUCCGCGAAACUCUAAUAAAUCGGCUUGUGACUCACGACUCCUAUGAACCUAGAUGCUCUGAUACCAACUUGUCACGACCCCAAAUUUAACCCUUUGUAUGGUGUCGUGAUGGCACCUAGUUUUUACGACUAGGUAAGCCUAAUAUUAUGAAAAAUAUAAAGAAACCACAACAUUUUAAAGAUAAACAGCAUAUUGUGAAUAGCCAAGAGUAGUACCACUCGGCCUAUACAAAAUAUUUUUUCAAGACCCGGAAUAUCACUAAGUCACAAGCUGCUAUAAUCUAUGUAGCUCUAUACAAAAGUCUGAAGAUAAUAAAGAAAGUCUCUAGGCGAUGGAGUAGAAGGGGACUCCGAAGAUUUGCGAACGCAAGCAGUAGUACCUUGAAGUCUCCUAAAAUCGGCAACACGCACUAACCCCGAGGCUAAUAGCUGGCACCUGGAUCUGCACCCGAAAACAUGUGCAGGAAAGGGCAUGAGUACACCACAAUGGUACCUAGUAAGUGUUAAGCCUAGCCUCGGUUGAGUAGUGACGAGGUCAGGUCAAGGCCCUACCAGGGUAAAUAUAAUAAAUUAAACAGUAAAAUAUAUAAGUAAAGUUUACGGUAACACAGUUAAAGAAAUUCUCGAAAAUUUAACAGUUAAGGGAGCCCUCGGCUCAGAACAAGGUAAACAUAGUGGGGAAACUCCCGGGAUACCGUCCCGUAGUUCCAAAUAAAUAUGCAGUACAUGGGGGAUCUCCCGGAAUACGUUCGUAGUCCCAAAGUAAAUAUGCACUGCUGGGGGAUCUCCGAAAUACGUCUGUAGUCCCAAAGUAAAUAUGCAAUGCUGGGGGAUCUCCCGGAAUACGUCCGUAGUCCCAAAGUAAAUAUGCAGUACAGGAGGAUCUCCCGAAAUACGUCCUUAGUCCCAAAGUAAAUAUGCAGUACAGGGAGAUCUCCCGAAAUACGUCUGUAGUCCCAAUUUAAAUAUGCAAUGCAAGAUGAAAUGGCAGGUAAGUCAUCGAGUUAUACAGUUUAUACUGGACACAGAUAAGGGAAAUAGGGACUUAAUUAAGCAUGAUGCACAGAAUGUCAAUUAGGCAGUUAAAACACGUAAGCAUGCUUCUCUAAUCUACGUUUAACAAUUAAACGUAUCAGUGCAAUUAAAUAAGGAAAAACAGUUUAUGAUUUAGAAAGGAAAAACGGGAUUUUUGCAAUAAUAGCAUGUGUACGUACUCGUCACCUCACGUACACGGCGCCCACACAUCAAUUAAUAUCAAACAUCCUAAGGGAAAGUCCCCAACACAAGAUUAGGCAAGCAACUUACCUCGAACCGCUCAAAUCAACUCGAUAUCACGUUCUUGCCACGAGUAUCCGACUCCAAAUGGCCCGAAUCUAUUCAAAUUAAUUGCAUAAUGUAAAUAUAACUAAAAGUAAUUAAUUUAGCUAAUUAAUUCGAAGCUAAAGCGUGAAAUUAGAAAAAAUGUCCAAAAUAUCUCCCUAGGCCCACGUCUCGAAAUCGGGUAAAAAUUACAAAAUACGAACACCCAUUCACUCACGAGUCUAACCAUAUAAAAAUUUCUCAAAUCCAACCACAAAUCCCCCUUCAAAACUCGAAAUCUUUGUUGGAGAAGUUCUUCCAAAUUUUUCCUAAUUUCAACCCCAAAAUCCGAAAAUAAAUGAUGCAAUCAACCAUAGAUUAGUAGAAUAUAAACAUAAAGGAGUUAGGAAUCAUUACCCAAAAACUUCCUCCGAAAAUCUCUCCAAAUUUCACCUUCUACCGAGCUCUCAAUCAAAUUUUUGUGUUAUGAACUCAACCCUAGUUUUAGAACCUUAAAUUCUGCCCAGGUGCAUUCUUCUUCGCGAACGCGACAUCACGAUCGCGAACGCGAUGAACAAUCUUCCACUGGCCCAAAAUUCCUCUUUCGCGAACGCGAGGGGACUCUCGCGAACGCGUACCUUCCACUGACGGACCUUUCGCGAACGCGGGAACCUCUUCGCAAAUGCGUAGGCUUAAUGCCCGAAGCUUCCUCUGCCUCGUUCCUCUACGGGAACGCGAGGACCAUAUCGCGAACACGUAGGCUUAAGGUCCCACACCUUCGCGAACGCGGGAACAACAUCGCGAACGCGAAGAACAACUUCGCUGCCUUUCCCAUAAGCUCUACGCAAUCGCGAGGCACCUCUCGCGAAUGCGAUGAAGGAUUUUUCUGCAAUAAAACACCAGAAAUCUGCUACUUCUCUAAGUCCCAAGAUGACUCGUUGAGCAUCCGAAACACACCCGAGGCCCCCGGGACCUCGACCAAACAUACCAACCAAUCCCAAAAUAUCAUACGAACUUAGUCGAGCUCUCAAAUCACAUCAAACAACGCUAAAAUCACGAAUCACCCUCCAAUUCAAACUUAAAGAACUUGAAAUUUCAAAAUUAUACAACUGAUGCCGAAACCUAUCAAAUCACGUCCGAUUGACCUCAAAUUUUGCGCACAAGUCAUAAUCAACAUUACGAACCUACUCCAACUUCCGGAAUCGAAAAACAACCCCGAUAUCAAAAAUUCCACUACCAGCCCAAAACUCCAAAAAUUCAACUUUCGCCAUUUCAAGCCUAAAUGAGCUACGAACCUCCAAAACACAAUCCGAAUACGUCCCUACACCCAAAAUCACCUAACGGAGCUAACGUAACCGGCGAAAUUUCAUUCUGUAGUCGUCUUUGAAUUUCCGGAGUCGUCUUCACACAGUUCCGACUACGGUCCAAAUCCUAAGGUUUAAGCUCUCAUUUAGGGACUAAGUGUCCCAAAACACUCCGAAACUCAAAACCAAUCAUCCCGACAAGUCACAAUACCAGAAAUAGAUAUGGGGAAAGCAGUUAAUAGAGGUUCAGGGCUCUAACUCUCAAAAUGACCGGCCGGGUCGCUAUAAUCUGGCAAUCACAUUAAAAGUUAUAGUUGUACUUUAACCCUGAAUCUGGCAUAACAACUAGCCUUAAUCGUUUUAUUACUUUGUUUAAUUAAUUCGCUAGUAGCAUGUUUAGGCCGACAACACUCGGGUAGGAAAACUUUAGGUCUUUUUUUUUCUUUUAUUCGAAGUGAGAGGUCGUUCCCUUUAGUUUAUAUUCAGGGGAAUGCCCUAUAGACUUUAUAAAUAUUUUUAUCAGGGGAAUGCCCCGAAGUGAAUGUAACUGGAGGCCGUGACGGACAUCGUGGAGUGAGCAUAUCAUAGAAUUUAGUAUUUUCAUCUUAUUUUACUUUCUCUUAUUUAGGUGGGGACAACCUCGAGCCUCUUGUGUGUUUAUUUUUCUUUCGUGUAUUUUUUUUUACCUCAAUUCAAAUAUUCUUUAAAGCCAAUUUGAUCAUGUAUGCAACCGUACUAGUUACGGGACUCGGAGAAUGCCUAACACCUUCUCCUCGAGUCAAAUGAACCCCCUUACUUGGAACUUCUGGUGCAGGCAGUUUUAGAGUCAAAUGUGUUCUAAAGGAAAAUUAUUAUUUUAAAAAAUGGUGACCUGGCACACCGAAACCAAAUGUCAGGUGGCGACUCUGAAAAAUCCUUUGAAACACAGUCUUUUGUCACUUUUCAAAUUGAAUAACCCUUUCGAGCUUUAAAAUCACCUUUACUAUUUUAAAGGGGUUGUUAAGGAGGAAAAAAAGGGGUGUGAUAGCUUUGGCGACUCUGCUGGGGAAACACUCAACCCUCUUAAAAAAGAUAUAAAGAAGAUUUUUAAAGCUCAAAAGGGUUUUAAUUUGAAAAGUGACAAAAGAUUGUGUUUUAAAAGAUUGUUCAGAGUCGCCACCUGCAUUUGAUUUCGGUGUGUCAGGUCACCGUUUAAAAAUAAUUUUUCUUUUAAAACAUGUUUGACUCUAAAACUAACUGCACCAGAGAUUCUAGAAAAGGGGGUUCAUUUGACUCAGGAAAAAGGUGUUAGACAUUUCCUGAGUCCCGUGAAGGUCACGGUUGCGUACAUGAUCAAGUCGGCUUUUACAAUAUUCGAAUUGAGGUCAAAACACAGAAAAAGAAAAAUAAACACAAAAGAGGCUCGAGGUCGUCCCUACCUAAUAAAAGAAAAAUAAGAGAAAAGAAAAUAAAGUACUAAGAGAAAAUAUGCUAAGAGUUCUAAUCUAUCCUACACUAUGCUUCCUCCACGAUCUAGCCUCGGCCACCAUUUACAUUCACUUCGAAGCAUACCCCGGAUAAAAAUAUAUACAAACUCUUCGGGACAUUCCCCUGGUGCAUUAAUUGACUAAAGGGGCGACAUCUUACCUCAAAAGAAACUGAAACACGAACGUCCUAAAGGUUUGCCUACCCAAAUGUGGUCGGCCUAAACAUGCUACUAGCGAUCAAAAUGAUGAAAUAAAAGUAAAAUUAAUACUAAACCCAAUUCAUAUGUGUAAACUGUGACCAAAGCUCAAACCCGUUUAAUUCUCACAAUUAACCAGAUUCCUAUCUCAUCCAAAAUCACUCCCACGACCCAACUAAUGUCCAUUCCUUUAUCCUUCUAUAAUUAAUGAAUUGAUGUUCUGUCUUCAUUAACUACCCAUCACAUACAUGGAAUUAACUGAAUAGAGUAAUCAACCAACCAUUUAGAAGCAAACCAAAGAGUUAAAUGGUAAACAACGAAGAAUAUAAUGCUCGCCUCUUUAUCUUAGCUAAUACAGUAAUAUUUCAAGUCUAAAACCAGUUGGAUUCCUAGCGAAGAAGGCGAAAUCAUUCGAACUCACUUAACUAUAACUCAUGAAUUACUUACGUAGCAAAACAACGAAGAAGCAAUCGAAACAAAAACAGAUAUUAGAAAUAAGAAAACAUAAAUAGAAAUCAAGUAGGAUUAGUGAAGAAAAAUUAACCUCAGCAAGCUUUCCUUUCUAUUAACGAGAAUUCAGUUACAACGAACCCGGCGAUUGAAAUCUGGCUGAAAAACGCAGCAGCAGGAGAUUGAUCCGUGGACCAUGAAAAUAACCUCGAACGGCAUCAACGGAUUGAACCUUACCGGAAAAUCAAAUAAUCGACGCGAUCCGAAAUCCGACGAACUGAACACGAUCUCUUAGAAUUCAAUUUGCCGUCACUGUACUGCCGAAACUACUACUUUUCUUGACUUUUAGGAUUGAAUAUAAAUACUACUCCUCUCCUAAUCCAAUUUGUUCAUGGUAAGGUAAACCAAUGAAUAUUGGAAAGCCCCAACUAGGUUGCUGUUGUCAAACCCAUCAAAUUCUUUUUGUAUCGUCCUUCUUCUGUUGCUAGGGAUUUUCUCAAUCCCUGCCGAUUUUUAGGAAGAUGAGGGUCUGGCCGUUUUUCUUCCCUAGGUUCAUGGAAGAUGUGGCUUUUAUUUUGGUUUGGG